AGUUACAAGACAAAUUUACCUUGGGCUUUGAAAAUAGAGGCAAACCUGAGCUGAACAAAUACACAAAAUGUCAGGGUCUCCUGUAGAACCAACCACGUGGAAAAACUUAGUGCUGUAUUUCCAUUUUCCACCAGGAGUCUCUCCUUGUUUGGCCUGGCUGGUGCUUGAUAGAAGAUUUCUGAAGCUCUGCUUCUGCCCACUGAAGGACAGGCAAAGAAAGAAGGAAAAAAAGAUGCAUUUGAGCAAGUGAAUAAAGAAGGAAUGACAGAAGUGAAUAUUGCUAUUUUUGCAACUUCAUACUGAAAUAAUGAAUCUAGGCAGUCAUUAUGAAUUGUUAACAUCAAAAAAAGAGAGACAAACAGACAUGACAUGUCUUUUCAUGGAAGUAUGCAAUACUCCCCACAAAACGUUAUUACCAGAAAACAAAAACAAAACAUAUAGGUGCCCCAUGCUGCCUUGACAUGCAGAAGAAAUAAUUCUGGAUAUGUUACUUUGCCAAAAUAGCACAGGAAGAAUUUCCUACUUGGGAAUCUACUUUGUACAAUGCAGUCCACCUACUCCAAAGACCAGUUCUCAGAAUCUCAAGGGCAGGUCUCUUCUUUUAAUUUGAAACAAAGAUUUCAUCUGCAAAGAAGAAAAUAGGAAGAAUGACAGCAUCUUUCCAUUUGUCAUGCUCAGUUACAGUCAUACUGAAUGAUUCACGGAACAGAAUCUAGCACAUCACAUAUUAAUUUUUUUGUCUGAAGGCUUACAAGAUAUCUCACUCAUGAGUUAAUACGGAAACCAACUUUUCUGCAUAAAAUGCUAUUUUGAGGUCAUAUACCUGUUAUAUAUGUUACUAAUAUGAAAUUCACUCUGGCCAUCUGUUAAUUUGGCCCCUCCUAUAGAAGGCUAAAAUUCUAUUUGGCCCCAAGUAAGUUUUUCUGUGUCCCCUUUAUUUGCCUACCCUGAGACAAACCAGGGAAUCAAAUAGUUCGGUGGAAUUUUUUCUUGGUAUCAUGUGUUUCACAAUCACUCAAUAGGCAUAUGUUGACCAUGCUAUAGGACUCAAUCUCCAACCCCUUAGAGAAUAUCCUGACAAAACAUACUGGGUCUCCAGUGGUAUUCAAGUACAUACAUGUGGAAGGCCUAAGAGGUCGAAGGAGAUCAAAUGCACGUAUGUGGCAUUCCAGGUAGAUAUGCAGUAUCUUCUUUCUCUCCUUCCACUAAUCCUACAAGUCAAUUAAAAUACUAGCUGUUUUUUUAAAUCUUCCACAUAAUUAUAGUCACCCUCAAAGCUGGUCUUUGUAUUAGUUUAUGAUUUUUGCUUCUUUAGGAGACAGACCAGGAUGAUGACAUUUGUGGGGCUCUAAGCUACUGGUGACUGCAUAGUGAUUCGUGGAUAUGUUCUGAGGAACAGACUGUUUCAUCAUCCGGGCUUCUGUAAAAUUGGCGAUUAAAAAAAUACUGUGUGCGCACUCUUGUGCAUGCUGCGUCCUGCGUGCCGGUGUGCCUGUGCAUAUGGAGGUGGUGGUCCUCUCUCUAUUCUUUAUUCCAGCAGGAAUUGAGGCUCAGUUUCACACCUCUCUCCGUGCUAUACACAUCCUUUUGGAUUACUUCCUUUUUAGAACAUUUUCUCCCUUUCAAAGCUCUCCUCAGUUUGAGAACAGAAAAUGCACCUAUAACAGGUCCAGAGGGAGAGGGAGAAUGCUGAUUUUUCCUGACUUCCACAUCCAUUGAAGAAUGUGUGUGAAGAUGGACUUUUGAGACCCCACUAAGGGGACACAAAGAGGUGAGGGGCAGAGAGUCACUUUUGCUGGAGAGCGGUGGGAUCACUUCUCAGUGCUACACUUGCAAGGCUGGUCCUCCGAGGCUAUUAAUUUUCUCUUGGCUGCUUUUCUCUUCUCUUACAUGGAACUUUUAAGACAUUUUAGCAAGACUGUGGUUUUAUAGGAUAUAUUUUAUUGAUGAUGAAGUUAGAUUCUAUACUCAGCCUUAUUCCUAUCUAUUCAGAGAUAAUUAGUGACUGUCCAAUCUUGAGAACUUGCUGUGACUGCUCACCCUCAGGGUUGGGGGGUAAAGAAGCCAGAAGCCCGGCAAUAGUGCUCACUGGCUGUCCAUUUGAAAUUUUCUAGCUAACAAGCCAUUCCAGUAAAAAAGCGUAAGUGUACCAAGCCAAGGGAGAAUGGGACCACAUCUGACCAGCAAACAAUGGGAUGAAAUAUUUCAUUGAUUUGCUCUGGCCCCGUUGCCCAUAUUCAAUACAUGGGAUUUCCCUCCUCCAAAUAUUUUUUUGCUCAACAUGGGGACUUAUUUAAAUGUAUAUGAAGUUUCCGCUUGGAGACAUACUUUCAUAUAAGUAACCACUUUCAUAUAAAUCAACCACUUGGAACUGAUAAUACAUAAAACAAAAAUGUUUGAAUAAUAAAAUAUAGUAAACCAUGGGCCUAUCACAUUAUAUCACAUGUAUUUAUUGAAUUUAUUGGGGAAAGAGAAGAGGAAGAAUUUUUAAAAACCCAGAUAUACAGCCUCCUGAGCCAAACUGGACAUCAUUGCUGGUGCUAGAAGGUCCAUUUGCACCUCAGCUGCCUUGAUAAACUGCAGUUGGCAAAACACAUGUCACAGAAUCAUCUCUUAGAUAUUGGAAGGAGCACUGAAGCAUCACUGGUUUGUGGUCUUGGGAGAGCCAAGUCAUAAUACCAUUUUAAAGGUUUAUACACUUACUCUUUGCUGAGCACUGGAGAAAGCCUGGGUCUACAAAAAGUGAUGCAUUUGUUGCCUUGCUCUCAAGAUGCCACCUCUUUGAGAAAACCAAACUAAAAAGCCCCGAAAAAUAAGUCACAGAGAAUGAGAUAUGACAAAGCUGGAUGAGACCACAUGUCAGUGACAGACCUAAGGUACAGACCUCCCAUUCCUCACUGCGAUGCAGGUAAGUGGCCUCGCUGUGACUUCCGUCAGUCAUGCCUCUCCAUUUCCCAGCUUUGGUCUUUGUAAAGCGCAGGUCACCUUGAUGUAUUUUUUUCAUUAUGUUAAAGACAAUGAAGCUUGACAGCACAGUUGUUUACAAGAAUGAAAAUUUGGAUUUAAAUGAAAUGUCCAAAAAUAUGUUAUUAAUAAAAAAAUUAUGAAACAUCUAUCCAAAAGAAUGUGCAGCUAUUAAAAUGAUUUCAUACCUUUCAGUUUACUGGCUUGAAAAAUGUUGAUAUCCAAUGAAAAAAAGCAGGUUAUAGCAUUUUUAUGAAACUAUUACAUGAGUAAGAUUUUUUUCCUCCACUCUCCGGACAUAAGAAAUGUCACAUUUUAAAAUUCCACUGCUGUUUAUAGGUGGCAGGUAAUCUGACAUUGUCACCAGGGUUGUGUGUGUUUGUUUGUUUGUUUGUUUGUUUUAGAGUAGGAUGUUUGCAGGACCUGGUUCAGACCUUCCGAGCAGGCAAUGCAGUCCUGGGUGCCAAGCCUUGUUCUCCACUGUCUAGGAGGAGCCCCAUCACAAGGGACCGAGGGGACCCUCUCUUCCCUGUCAAGCUGUCAAAUGUCCAUAGUAGUAACGCUUGAAGUGAGUGUGAAGAUUCAAUGGGAUGAUCCAUAGAAAGCACUAUAUGGAGUCAGAUGAGUCCUGAUACACUGAUAUAUGCCAUAAUUCUACACUACAAUCCAUUGCCUGCCAACAACUCUAAUAUCACGAGAACUAAUCUGUUGUGCUGGUGAAAUGUUCUUAUCUCAGGUAAAUUACAUGAAGCUCCCUUGUCAGCUCCAAAUGCAAAGUAAUCCAUGAACCAGUGCUCUUUAAAAAUCUAGUUGCUGGGUUGGAUAGCCAGUCAGAUGCUACUUCAGCCUUCAUGUCACCAAGGCUCAAAGUAGAUACUCUUCAGUUCAGAGUUGAUGCUUUUACAUCUUCUGGUGUCAUUAACAACGUGUAAGCUUUGGAAGUAUCCUGUGUAGAGCAAAGGAAACAGUCAACAAAACAAAGAGACAACUCAUGGAGUGGGAGAAGAUAUUUGCAAAUGACAUUAUGGAUAAAGGGCUGGUAUCCAAGAUUUAUAAAGAACUUCUAAAACUCAACACCCAAUAAACAACCCAGUCAAUAAAUGGGCAAAAGACAUGAACAGAUACUUCUCCAAAGACACACAAAUGGCUAACAGACACAUGAAAAAAUGUUCAUCACCAUUAGCUAUCAGGGAAAUUCAAAUCAAAAUCACAUUGAGAUACCACUUUACACCAGUUAGAAUAGCAAAAAUUAACAAGACAGGAAACAAGUGUUGGCAAGGAUGUGGAGAAAGGGGAACCCUCUUACCCUGUUCAUGGGAAUGCAAGCUGGUACAGCCACUCUGGAAAACAGUAUGGAGGUUCCCCAAGAUGUUAAAAAUAGAGCUAUACUAUGACCCAGCAAUUGCACUACUAGUUAUUUACCCCAAAGAUACAGAUGUGUAGUAAAAGAAGUGGCACAUGUACCCCAAUGCUCAUAGCAACAUUGUCCAAAAUAGCCAAACUGUGGAAGAAGCUGAGAUGCCCUUCAACAGAUGAACGGAUAAAGAAGAUGUGGUUCAUAAAUACAGUGGAAUAUUACUCAGUCAUCAGAAAGGAUGACUAUCCACCAUUUACAUCUACAUGGAUGGGACUGGAGGGGAUUAAGCUACGUGAAAUAAGUCAAGCAGAGAAAGACAAGUAUCAUAUGAUUUUACUUGUAUGUGGAACAUAAGGAAUAGCAUGGAGGACCACAGGGGAAGGGAGGGAAAACUGAAUGGGAAGAAAUCAGAGAGGGAGACAAACCAUGAGAGACUGGACUCUGGGAACCAAACUGAGGGAGGGUUAUGGAAGGGAGGGGGUUGGGGAGAUGGGGUAACAGGAUGACGGAUAUUAAGGAGGGCAGGUGUGGUGAUGAGCACUGGGUGUUAUACAAAACUAAUGAAUUG